rnacentral:lncRNA from 1 species
UGAAAUGUUGGAGUACAUGAGGAGUUCUGAAGUUCUCAUCAAACGUUUAAUGGAUGUGCUAGUAAAGGGGCUAAACGUUAAACGAAUUGAUGAAAUAAGAGAACCUAUGUUGUUGGGCUCAAGAAGAGUUAACCUCAACUAUUAUCCUAUGUGUCCCAAUCCUGAACUCACAGUUGGGGUAGGCCGUCAUUCAGAUAUUUCAACAUUCACUAUCCUCCUCCAGGAUGACAUCGGGGGACUUCACGUGCGAAAAGACAACUGUACUGAAUGGAUUCAUGUCGCUCCAAUUAGCGGAUCACUCAUUAUCAACGUUGGUGAUGCAUUGCAAAUCAUGAGCAAUGGUCGAUACAAAAGUGUUGAGCAUUGUGUGAUUGCCAAUGGAAGCCAGAACAGGAUUUCGGUCCCCCUUUUCGUGAACCCAAAGCCUGAAGCCAUACUCUGUCCUUUCCCCGAAGUGCUUGCAAAUGGGGAGAAGCCACUGUAUAAGCCAGUUCUGUGCGCAGACUAUUCCAGGCAUUUCUAUACCAAGGCACAUGAUGGGAAGAAAACUAUCGACUUUGCAAAGAUAAGCCACAUUUGAAAUGAAAAUAAGUGAAUGCCUAGCUAAUUGUUAUCUUGAUGAAAAUAAAGUGCACGGAGAUGAAGGUGGGAUUCAGUGAAUAAUGCUGAGGCCAGUUCUUCACUCCUGAUAUGGAAAAAUAAAUUUAUUGUUAUGAAGGGUUUUACUCUGGCUUCAAAGCUCUAUGUAGUUGUUUCUAUUUGUCAUAUAAAAAUAAAUUGUAUUUGUGUUCUGUGCAUGUUUUUUCUGACACUUUACGAGAUCUUUUUGAAGUUACCAGAAACCUUAUAGAUAUUUAUUUUUAGAACUUUAUUGGUGUCAUGAUCGUAAUUAUGAUGUUACGUCCUUAUGGUAUAAUGAUACUCUGGUAUUUGUCUUCAACCUCAAGUCCAGUUCAAGCUUAAGUCUAAAUGUUUAAAUUUGGAUGGAUCUAGGUUUUGAAUAAGACCUGGCUAAAUUAAAAUUGAUUGUAGGUAUUUGUCCUACUGUCCGGUACAGUUGAAGCAGCAAAAUAUAUAGUAACAAAUUAGACAUCACGAACCUUACUCUUAACAACAUAUAUAUAUAUAUAUAUAUAUAUAUAUAUAUAUGUGUGUGUGUGUGUGUCUCGGUGAGUGUGUGUGUAUGUGUGUGUGUGCGCGCGCAUGUUUGUGUGUGUGUGUGUUAAAAAUUAAAAAAAGAAAAAAUAUGAAAAAUUAGUUUAUAAGAGCAUCUCCAAUGUAGCACUAAACCUAACACCAAAUCACCUUUUACACCAUUUUAGGUGUAAAAUGUUUCUCCAAUGUAACACCAAAAUGGUGUAGUGAAUAGUAUUGCACCAAAUAUGGUGCAACACUAUUCAUUUGCACCAUAUUUGGUGCUAGGAAAAAAAAUCUCAAAUAUCCUUAUUACUUUAUCUUAUUUACAUAUAUAUCCUAUUUUAUAUAAUAUUUUAGUUAUUAUUAUUAUUUAGUUAUUUUUUAAUAUUAUACUAAUAUUUUAAAUAAAAAAUAUUCAACACAAAAUUUAAUAAUAAAAAUAAAAUGCCAAUAACAUUAAUUACUAGAUUACAUAUUACAAAAUUAAAAAUACAACAUUAAAUUAACACAAAUUAAAAAAGCUACUACUACUAGCAUAAAUUAGAACAAUUAUUUAGUAAUGUGGGAGAUCAUUAUUAGAUCCUCCAAUAUCAUUGUUGCUGUUAUUUAUUGUUAUUGUAUUUUUCUAUAUUAAUGUAAUGUUUAAUUUUCAUAAUGCACUUAUUAUUGUUAUUGUAUUUUUCUAUAUUAAUGUAAUGUUUAAUUUUCAUAAUGCACUUAUUAUUGUUAUUGUAUUUUUCUAUAUUAAUGUAAUGUUUAAUUUUCAUAAUGUACUAAUUUAGUUAAUUAAAUCCAAAUUUAAUAAUUUUCUAUAUUUUUUUUGUUAAUCGAUAUAAAAUUACUUAUUACUUAAUUAUCUAUAUUAAUAGUAAUAUUUAUUGUGUUAAUUGAAUUAAUUCUUGAGAAUUAAAGGAAUAAAAGAAGAAUAAUUUUUUUGGUGUAAAAUUUGAUGUAAAUGGGUUAGAGAUGAAAUAGUAAUUUGAUGUGAAAAAAGUACAUUUUUAGUGUUGGUGUUACACCAAAAUGGUGUUAUGCAUUGGAGAUGGUUAACGUAAUUAUAAUAGAAAUUAUAAAAUUGUACGUAUCAUGAAAUAUUAUUUCUUGAAAUUCUUUUUUAAUUUCAAUAAUAGAGAGUAGGUGAAAUAAUAGAAUAGUUUGAUACAAUUAUUAAAGAAGGAACAAGUCUAAUUGUAAAGGAAAUAAACCAUGAAAAAGUUAUUACUAUAUAUUCAUCAAUUGUGGCGAUUUUGUAACAUUCCAUUACUAGUGACAAUAGUGUCUUUAUUUUCUUCAAUAAAGAUAUGCUUUGUUCAAUUGAAAUGGUAAAUUACUCCUUUCAUAUUGAAUUUAAAAAUCCCUUGUAAGAGUAACGUAAGUAUAAAAGGUAUUUCAAUUAUUUUAGGAGAGAUCGAAUCUAAGACAUACUAUAAAAAUAAUGAAAUUCACGUUCUUAUAUAACAAAUCAUAAAACUUUGUGGCUCUUAAAGAAUUUUUCUUCGUUGAGGUUAGACUAUUGCCUAGGAUUGACAAAAUUCGGAUCCGGAUCCACAUAUAUAUAAGUGCAUCCGGAUCUAGAUCUAUAUUUAUUUUUCUAUAUCCAAAUCCACAUCCAAAUUUGAAAAAAAAUGUGAAUCUAGAUGUGGGUAAUACUUGCAACAGAUGUAGGUGGAUAUUUCGGAUAUCUGGAUCCACAAAAUAAAAAAUCAAUAAUUUAAUAUAUAAUUUAAAAAUCAAUAAUUUACUUAAUAGUAUCAAAUAAAAUUCAAUAAUUAAUAAUUUAACAUGAAUAACAUACAACAUCAUAAAUCCAUAAAUAAAUUUUAAUUUUUAAUAUAUGUUUUUAAUUUGAUUUUUCAUUUAAAAUAAAAUUUAACCGGAUCUAGAUAUCUAGUUUUCUGGAUGCACUUACAUCUAGAUCCGAAUUCGGAUCCGUGUGGAUCACAACUUUCCGCAUCUGGAUCCGCAUUUUUUAAUAUGCAGAUCUAGAUUUUUCUUGGAAGAUGCAGGUUAUAUCCGGAUUUUUAAAUUUUAUUUAAUAAAUUGUUUAGAGGUGCCUUUUCUUUUUAAUAUGUAAAGUCACAUAAAGUGAAAAAAAAGACUUAAUUAAAUAUAAUCUAAUGAACUUCAUAAUUUGUUACAUAAAAUAUGAUAAAAAUUCAUGCUACUAUAUAAUCCAUUAAAAAUAAAAACUAAUAUGCAUUACAUUCACAUUAAACUUGUUGUAAUAAUAUUCCUUAAAUUUUUCAUUUAUUGUGAUCUAGAGACAUUAGUAUAGCGAUACUUUUUUGAAGUAUCAUUAUCUCUUUUUAUGCCUUCAUCAAUGAUUAAACUAGAAUUAUUUUCAAUGUUGUCAAAAUAAAGAUCACAUUGUGCAUGCCUCUUGAAAUAAUUGUGCAAUGCCAUGAUUGCGAUGAUAUAAUUGCUAUUGGGGUAACUUGAUUAUGCCGAUAAUAAUGUGAUAUCUGAUAGUUAAUUUAUAUAUUAUGGUUUAUGAAAAAAAAGACAUAAUUGUCAUUCUGUUAAAAUAUUAAAGGUUCAAAAUAGGAAAUUUAAAAAGGUAAGAUGACUUAUUUCAUAAUGGGUUGUUUGUUUUUUUACUUAAUGAGUUAAUUGACUUAAUUUUAGUUAGUUACGUCAUUAAGGAGGCGUUUGUUUUUUUGUCUGAAUUCUGAAUAGAUCUGAAUGUCUGAAUAUGAAUAAUCUGUUUAUUUUUUCAACUUAAUAAAGAUUUUCAGCAAUUAAGUCAUUAAGUUAUUAAACUAAUUUUUUUAGCUUUUUAUUUAAUCUAAAAAGUUUGGAUGCUAUCAUUAAAAGAUAUUUUCUAAAAUAUCCUUAUCUAAUUAAUUAAUUAUCAUCCUUAACUAAAUAAAAUUUAAUAAUUAGCAUUAUUACCCAUCUGUUUAUGACUUGUGAUAAUAUAUAGUGGUAGACUAUUAUUAUUCUUAUCUUUUUAUUUUACUCAAAUUAGCAUUAUUUAUCUUCAUAAUUUUUAUGAAUAUUUUUCAUAUAAAAACAUCACAAACUAUAAUAAAAUUGAUUAACAUAUAUGAUAUAAAAUAUUAAAGAGUUGUACUCAAUUAAAUAUGAGAUUUUAUUAUAUAGAUUAUUGGAAGAAUGGUCUUCCCACAUUGGCAAUUAAAAAAUAUAAGUGGUGAUUAUAUUAAAUUCAAUUAUACAUAUAAUAUAUGCAUUAAUUAGUUGUAUUAUCUCUGAAAUAUUAUAUAAUUCAAAGAGUUUAUGGUAAAUUAAAGUCAUUACGCUUAAAGCAAUAAACCACCACCAAUGAAUCUCCCUGAAGCCAAAGUCUUAUCCGACUGUUGGCAUAAGUUCGGUUAAAAAACCCGACUCAUGACUUAAGAACAAACCCAAAAAUUGAGAAGCUAUUACAAUUUAUCUUUAUUUAGCCCAUAGGAGGAGCUCGCCGAUUCCAAAUCUGACAUUUCGGAGCUUGGUAUAAUUUAAAAUUGAUUUAAGUUAACUAAUACUUACAAAAGUAGUACUUGAGUGACUUCGUACCAAAAAAAAUGGUAGUACUUAGGUGACUUUCUGAAAAAAGCGUAGUACUUACGUGACUUUCUACAAAUUUUAUCAUAAAUAUAAAUAAAACUUAAAAAUAAUUUUAUAAAUGAUUUUUAAUGUUACUUUUCACGGUAUUUAUUCUUUUUAGUCAUUAACCAAAGUCAAAUAUAGACUGCGAGGAGAAAAAUAAUAAACAGUGAGAGAACAAGGACAAAAAGAGAACAACAUAAACUUUAAUCACUCCUGAAUCUUUAAAAGUCAGAGAUAGACCAUUAGAGCCAAAAUAACGUAUAUAUAUAUAUUAAAUAAGAAACGGAAUUUUUUAUUAAAAAGGAAGAAAAAACUCGUGUAAUUGCAAACUAUUUUUUGUAAUUCCACAUAGGUCACAUGAUUUUUUUUUUUCAUUAUUAGACAUCUUUAUUCAAAUCAAUCAUGUUAUGCACCAUCAUUUUGUAUAAUAAUAUCAUUUGUAAUUAUAUUAUUACUGUUUUGGAAAACACCAUUUAAAAAAUAGUACCUAAUGCAGCUUACAUAUAUGUUUACCAAUUUUUUUAUGGACUCUAGCAAAACAGUUUUUCUCUUUUUAUAACAUUUUAGUAAUAUCGAAUAUGAUGACACUUCACAUACAACAUCACAAUGAAAGUAACUACUUUUUUCUCUCAAAAAAACAAAAAAGAAAAAAUAACUAUUUUUAUUGGAAGGAUGAAAAAGAAUACACCAUAGUAAAGAAUUAAUUGCAAGAAAUCAUGAGAGAGAAUCCUAACACUUGAUUAACAAGCUAGCUUAGCCAACUAAGCUCAUUAGUUAAAUGAUCAAAAGACUAUGGGCCAAUUUGGUAAUAUUAUAAAUUUUAAAAUAAUUAUUGUUAACUGUGCUAUACAAACAAUCAACAGUAAAGAAAAUUAGUUAAAUGUUUAAUAAAAUCUAUUUUAGAAAUUAGUAGUAUAUGUUUAAUAAAACUUAUUGUUGAACUGCUUUAAAAAUGCAAAUGAGUGAAAUGAAUAUAAUGUUAGAUAAAAUUUAUUUACACAUUUAUAAAUGUGUAUAUAUAAUAUAUUUUUUACUUUAUUAAUUUUUAUUUUUAUACUAAUAUAGUUGCCAAUAACAAUCAUGUCGUUAAGUUUAAACCACUUUAUUUCCUAAUUGAAUAAGAAUAAUUUCGAGCUUUUAUAAUAUAUAUCAGGAUAUAUAUGGAAUUCAAUUAAGUAUAAAAUUGAUUAUCAAAAUCACAUUUUAAAAAAUUAAUCUUCUUCUACUUUUCAAAAUCUGAUGUAAAAUAAGUAAUUUUAUCAAAAAUAAGUUAAAAAAUUACCAAAAAUCAAAAUUAGAUUUUAACUUUUUAAAUUCAACUUUGAAACUCUCAACUCUCAAAAAUAAGUCCAAAGGGGCCUUAUUUAUGAAAGCAUAGGAAGAUUUCUUAAGCAGAAAAGAAGAGGGAAGCACUCAAAAUGACUUCACUCAAUCAUCAUUUAGAGAUAAGAAAUAUAUAAACGACACAUAAAAUUAUACAUGUAACAAAUUGACAAUUUUUACUGAAUAGUAAUACUAUUUUGGGACAAAGACAUGCUAUUGACUGAAAAUCCUAAAACACUGAAUCAUUCUUUUUUUUAAUUAUAUUAUACCAAGUUUGACAUGCCAUUGCCAUUUUUCAAAAAAAGUAAGCCAUGACAUAAUCAGUUGUCUGAAUUUUUUCGGUACCUAUCAAAUGCAUCAAUCAAUCAAUCACUAUAAAUAAGCAUUAAUAAUGUUAAUUACUUGCAGCAUCACCAAGUAUAAUCAAUCCAUCUUGGAGAGCUAAGUCCAAGCAAAAAUGGCACCAACAAAUGGCUCUACCCUCGCAACUGAGUCCUGGGAUAUUGCUGAUUUUGUUAUAAACAAAGGCCAUGGAGUGAAGGGUCUCUCCGAAAUGGGACUCAAAAGCCUCCCAAAACAAUUUCACCAACCCUUGGAAGAAAGAUUCAGUGAGAAGAAAAUCCUGGAUCAAGUAUCAAUUCCCCUCAUUGAUAUGUCAAACUGGGAGAGUCCUGAAGUCGCAAAAUCCAUUUGCGAUGCCGCUGAGAAUUGGGGAUUUUUCCAGAUUGUGAAUCAUGGUGUGCCCCUGGAAGUACUCGAGAGAGUAAAGGAAGCGACCCACAGGUUUUUCGCGUUACCGGCAGAGGAAAAGAGGAAGUACUCAAAAGAGAAUUCACCAACCAAUAACGUGAGGUUCGGCUCAAGCUUUGUUCCUCAUGUGGAAAAGGCUUUGGAGUGGAAAGACUUUCUCAGCCUAUUUUAUGUUUCUGAGGAAGAAACUUCUGCAUUUUGGCCUCCUGUUUGCAAGUAAGUGCCUACACACACACACAUAUACAUAUACAUAUAUUUUUAAAUAUACUAAAUCUCCACUACUUAUAUAAUGAAAAACUUAUCAUAUGUUUAUUAUUUUUGUAAAAAUUAUUUUUAAAAAUCAUAUUACUACACUAUUAUAACUUUUAUUAUAUAGUUAUCACUUUUGGUUCACAGUAGCUUUCAAGCUAUAUCACCGCGAUACCAAACAUGAUACCUAAGAUUGUGUACUGAAUGUUUUUCUUUUGUUUUUAUUUUUUAUUUUUUGUUUUUUCUUAUAGGGAUGAAAUGUUGGAGUACAUGAAGAGUUCUGAGGUUCUCAUUAGACGUUUAAUGCAUGUGCUAGUAAAGGGGCUAAAUGUGAAACGAAUUGAUGAAAUAAGAGAACCUAUGUUGUUGGGUUCAAGAAGAGUUAACCUCAACUACUAUCCUAUGUGUCCCAAUCCUGAACUCACAGUGGGAGUAGGCCGUCAUUCAGAUAUUUCAACAUUCACCAUCCUCCUCCAGGAU